GCUUGAAUCUUUUCUCAGGCCUCAGGACAAUGAAGGUGGGUUGCUCUGGGUAGUCCGUUGUUGAUACUCGGUGCCAAAGCCUGCAGCCCAGAAAGUUCUUUGGAAGUUUCUCAUUAUAUUCUAGUACAAUGACCACUGAGAGUAGUGACUGGGGGCAUAUGAAAGCAAGGGCUAAAACUGUUUAUGAGAUUGUUCAAAAUAGAACUUACAGAAGAUGGCCAAGGGAAUUGGAGGAGAGGUCAGAAAACUUUGAAUCAUAACAUUCAACUGCAGUAGAGCACAACUUCUGGACCUCUGCACCACAUGACAGCCUACUCACAAUUCCACGAGUCAUCCUAGCAUAUACAUGAUCCAGAGGCCCGACU